UGUUAAGGCAAUUUCGAUAAGAUUUUGUCAGGGGCAGAUAACCCCGUAAGGACCUCAUUAUGUAUUCAUAUAUUCAUUAAUGGCGAAGAUUCCGUAAGCUGCGUCUAUCGAUGAAACUGUAUGAAAUCAAAUUACAUACAUGCCUGUUAACUAAAAACGGGUAUCCGUAUGAUGUAAUUUGUUUAUCGAAACACGAAUAUUGUAUGUUUGUGCUUUAAUUAUUAUGGCAAACAGUUGCAAUAGCUGUUUUUGUUGACGAGAUUGUCGGCUUGUGGACCCCGCCUCCUUUUGCAGAUUAACCAAUCAGUAGACGAUCGCCGUCAAAUAGAUGUUUGUAGUUUGCAGAAUGGAAAGAACCUUGCAGCGAAAAUUAUUUUCACUUCUAUGUGAAAAUCUAACCAGAAAACUCCCCUGUCAAUUACAAGAUACAGUAUGCCAUUCCAGCUUUGAUGAAAUAAAGUAAUGGUUUGAUUUGGAGAGCUUUAUUAUUAUAGACAGGGAUGAUGACCUGCAGUAGAAAGUUCCUUAUAACUCAUCAUGGCCAUUACAGCAGAUCUGAUUAAAAUUUGUUUAGAAAGCCACCAAAUAUGUCCAUGAAAAGUAGAAAAAAGACAGCAAUUCUAUAUAAUGUACAUAUAUGUACUAAGCAGAAGCAUUGACCGUUUCAAGACCAAAUGAAUUGGAAUUUAGUGUUUUGAUGCUGAGAGACAGAGGAA